rnacentral:rRNA from 23 species
AAUCCAUAGGUUAAUGAGGCGAACCGGGGGAACUGAAACAUCUAAGUACCCCGAGGAAAAGAAAUCAACCGAGAUUCCCCCAGUAGCGGCGAGCGAACGGGGAGGAGCCCAGAGCCUGAAUCAGCAUGUGUGUUAGUGGAAGCGUCUGGAAAGGCGCGCGAUACAGGGUGACAGCCCCGUACACAAAAGCGCAUGUGCUGUGAGCUCGAUGAGUAGGGCGGGACACGUGGUAUCCUGUCUGAAUAUGGGGGGACCAUCCUCCAAGGCUAAAUACUCCUGACUGACCGAUAGUGAACCAGUACCGUGAGGGAAAGGCGAAAAGAACCCCGGCGAGGGGAGUGAAAAAGAACCUGAAACCGUGUACGUACAAGCAGUGGGAGCACAGGUUUACCUG